rnacentral:rRNA from 1 species
CGGUUAGAGAGGGGCGUGCGUCCCAUUAGGUAGUUGGUAGGGUAACGGCCUACCAAGCCGACGAUCGGUAGCUGGCCUGAGAGGGUGGUCAGCCACACUGGGACUGAGACACGGCCCAGACUCCUACGGGAGGCAGCAGUGAGGAAUAUUGGGCAAUGGGCGCAAGCCUGACCCAGCGACGCCGCGUGUGGGAUGACAGGGCUAUGCCUUGUAAACCACUGUCGGGUGGGACGAAAAGCGAGCUACGGCUCGCCGGGACGGUACCACCAGAGGAAGGGUCGGCUAACUACGUGCCAGCAGCCGCGGUAAUACGUAGGACCCAAGCGUUAUCCGGAUUCACUGGGUGUAAAGGGUGUGUAGGCGGGCGUGCGCGUCUGGGGUGAAAGGUUCCGGCUCAACCGGAAACAUGCCUUGGAUACGGCACGUCUUGGGUGCGGGAGAGGACGGUGGAAUUCCUGGUGUAGCGGUGAAAUGCGUAGAUAUCAGGAGGAACACCAGUGGCGAAGGCGGCCGUCUGGCCCGCAACCGACGCUGAAACACGAAAGCGUGGGGAUCAAACAGGAUUAGAUACCCUGGAAGUCCACGCC